ACUCCUACGGGAGGCAGCAGUGGGGAAUAUUGCACAAUGGGCGCAAGCCUGAUGCAGCAACGCCGCGUGAGGGACGACGGCCUUCGGGUUGUAACCUCUUUAGCAGGGAAGAAGCCUUCGGGUGACGGUACCUGCAGAAAAGCGCCGGCAACUACGUGCCAGCAGCCGCGGUAAUACGUAGGCGCAAGCGUUAUCCGGAAUUAUUGGGCGU
rnacentral:rRNA from 1 species